rnacentral:rRNA from 1 species
GAUGAACGCUGGCGGCGUGCCUAAUACAUGCAAGUCGAGCGAACAGACGAGGAGCUUGCUCCUCUGACGUUAGCGGCGGACGGGUGAGUAACACGUGGAUAACCUACCUAUAAGACUGGGAUAACUUCGGGAAACCGGAGCUAAUACCGGAUAAUAUAUUGAACCGCAUGGAUCAAUAGUGAAAGACGGUUUUGCUGUCACUUAUAGAUGGAUCCGCGCCGCAUUAGCUAGUUGGUAAGGUAACGGCUUACCAAGGCGACGAUGCGUAGCCGACCUGAGAGGGUGAUCAGCCACACUGGAACUGAGACACGGUCCAGACUCCUACGGGAGGCAGCAGUAGGGAAUCUUCCGCAAUGGGCGAAAGCCUGACGGAGCAACGCCGCGUGAGUGAUGAAGGUCUUCGGAUCGUAAAACUCUGUUAUUAGGGAAGAACAAAUGUGUAAGUAACUAUGCACGUUUUGACGGUACCUAAUCAGAAAGCCACGGCUAACUACGUG